rnacentral:snRNA from 1 species
GUGCUUGCUUCAACAGCAUGGACACUAAAAUUGGAAAAAUACAGAGAAGAGUAGAAUGACUCCUGCACAAGGAUGCCCCCCACAAAAGCUACUUGAAUUACUUCCUU